rnacentral:misc_RNA from 1 species
CUUCCGGAAAUGCGACUGCUUGGCAAUAAAAUGCUCUAAGCAUUUUGUUUUGUGAAUGUUUGUGUGUUUGAUUCAUUCUAACAUUAGGAAGAAACAUCUGGAUUUUAAAAUACGUUAUAACACACGCGUAUGUUACGAUCCAGUGUCGUUUUUUGAAAGUAGUUGUAUCCCAUACUUAUCGCACACUUUCAGCCCUGAGUUUCACCACGGGAUUACAAGCGAGUCCGAUUAAACAUGGAUGAAAGAAAGAGUAAAAAUGAAAGGCUAAGAGAAGCUUUCCAAGAUGUCCUAGACAAGGGCAUUGCUGUCAGGAAAGCAGCUAGAGUGCAUGGCAUCCCUGAAUCUACACUGAGAGGAAGACUCAACAAUCCCAAAGGCUUGGAUGUCAAGGUUGGUGCACCACCUAUAUUCUCACCUACACAAGAGGGGGAACUUGCAUCAUACUGCAUAAAGAUGGCCAAUAUUGGUUAUGGAUUUUCCAGAUGGCAAGUGAUUGACUUAGCAGUAAAUAUGAACAAGAUUUUGCAGAGAGACUUCAACCCAACCAAGCACUGGUUUUAUGGAUUUUUAUCCAGGUAUCCAGAAAUUACCGUUGUUAAUGCAAAGAAGAGGGAUGAUGCUGUGACGGAGGAGACUUUAAGGUUGUAUUUUUCUGAAUUGACCAAGCUUCUGGCCAAGUAUGACCUUGUUGAUAAGCCAGCACAUAUAUGGCAUGUGGAUGAAUCAGGAAUAUCCCUUGAUCACAACCCUCCAGAAGUUGUGGCACGGAAAGGAACUAUGCCUCACAUGGUGACAGCUGGACAUUCUCCAACCACCACAGUCAUUGCUGCAGUAAGUGCUGUUGGUGACACCAUUCCGCCAUAUAUGAUAUACAAGGGAAAGCGUUUGUCCAAGCAACUGACAACAGGUGGACUUAAAGGAACAGAGUACAGAACAUCUCCAAGUGGCUGGUCUAAUUCCAUUUUGUUUCUGGACUUUUUUAAGAAUCAUUUCCUCCAUCAUGCGACAAGACCAUGCAUUCUGCUGUACGAUGGCCAUUCUACUCAUGUGACUGCUGAUAUCAUCCAGACUGCUAAGGAAGAAAAUGUCCAUUUGUUUGUUUUACCCCCACAUACAAGCCAUUGUCUUGAUGUGUCAGUGUUUGGUCCAUUUAAGAAAAGUUUGUCCACAGAGUUUCAUAAAUUCUAUCAUGAACAUCCCAACUCUACCAUCACAAGAGAGCAGCUUCCACAACUUGUUGGUCAGGCCUAUGUCAGUGCUUUAACUGUUCAAAAUGUGAUCUGGAUUUCGGAAGACUGGUAUAUUUCCCCUGGAUGCCUCAGCUGUGGAUACUAAUGCACCAGCCAUCACUCCUCAACCAACAUGCCAAAAGAAGCUGGGAAAGGUGAUAACUCCUGAUCCCUGGAAGUCUGGGGCAGAAACACAACCAAAGGAGGCGGCCGCAAAGUUGGAGAGAAUAAAGCUUUGACAGCAAAGAAAAACAGGUUCAACCCCUAUUCUACAGGAUUUGACAAGUGCCGGAUCUGCAAAUCCAUCGUCCACCAGCCUGGCUCUCACUACUGUCAAGACUGUGCCAAUGAGAAGGGAAUCUGUGCCAUGUGUGGCAAGUAGAUCAUAGACACAACCAACUACCGACAGACUUCAGUUUGAAGAAGAGUAUGAAUUCAGGACAAGUUUGACUUAUGAAAAACUGAAAAUAGAGUCUUAUUUGUUUUCUUCAUCAGUGGCUUAGGCAUACUUGAUCAUCAAGUGGAUUUUAUGAGGCUCCUACUGGAAGCCAGAAUGAGGAUGUGGAUCGUCCCAAAUGGAUCCAAGAGCUCUAACACUGAUGUUUGUUUGAGACAUCUCAUCACUUGUCAGCCAUAUCAAUCUUGCUGGAGUAUGUGUAUAGCCCUGUAGAUGUUUGAUAUUCAUAGUCAUCUGUUUGCCUACUUGGUGAAGUGAUGGUUGGUCACACCAAGUCUCAGAGUUCAUCCCUACAUGGAUCAUUCCUCUGGAGAUACAUAUGCCUGAAAUAAGAGCUGCACACUCACUUACUCACCCACAUUUACUUCUUUGUCACAGAUGUUUGUAUACAUCAGGUUUAAGACAUACAACUUUUCAAGGUAUAAAAUGCUCAGUCAGCAUAAAAAACACUAUUGCCAAGGGCAUUAAGGCAGCUAGGUUUAUUUUCUGCUGAGAUUCUUUUCAUUUUACACUUAUUAUGCAACAACCUAUCCUAAUUAGUGGAAGAAUUCCUGCAGCUUCAACUGGGAAUGUGGGUUUGAACAAGGGGCUCAAGAUGAUCCUUCUGUAAUUCCUGAGACGUUCAGUAUUCUGUCUACCCAUGGAUGUAAUUGUUUGAAUCGGAAAUCAUUACAUCUGUUCCCUGUUGGGAACAUUUUCUAGCUGCAACAGAAAUCUGUGUAACUUAAUCCACCUGACCACAUUAGCUAGAAAGUAACAUUGAAAUAUGUUUUGUUUUAUUCAAGCAAAUGAAUAAUUGACUAGUUGUAUUUAUUUUAUUUUUUUCAUCAGGAAUACUUGUACAAGUACCUUUGUGAUGAAUUUGGAUGUCAGUAAUCUCACAUUAAGCCUCUUUUGUUGACAUAUAAUUAUUAUAUUUCAGUAAAAUCAUGUGUCUCUCCGAUA